UUUCUUGACUUCUAUCCUCAUGGAUUGGCCCUCGGCUCUGGACUCCAGCUUCACUCCAUUGGAUAUUCCCAAAGAUCCCAACACAGCCUUCCCUGUCUUCAGGCUCUUGGACAUUGGGAUGCGGGUCAGUCCUGAGCGGGAGGUUUGGGCGUCAGGCCCAGCCUGUUUGACAAAGAAGGAAAAGAGCAUCGGGACCAUUUGCUUCUCCGGCGUCACCUUGAAAACGGCGCGGCCCAUCGUCAUCUCCUGAGGCUCUGGCGAGGAAGAUGAUUCAGACACGACAGCGCUGCUUACUGUCAUGAACGUCACAGGCGACAAGGGUCUUCCUGAGAUGUUUGACGACGGUCGGCUGUUUUCCGGAGACUUGGCUUUGGACAUGGUUGUUAUGGUGACCGGCGACUUUGCUCUUUCAGGACCGCUGGAAGACUUGCUCCUUUGGGUCGAUGCAGAAUGCGAAGGAAUGAUUGUAAUUCUUGAUUUCGGCUGAGACGGGUUUGGACUGAGUGGAGCCGAACUGGAGAAAAUCUCCUCAGUGGUGGGGCUGCUGAUCUCAAGGGUGGCCAUGUGGUUUUGGUGAUCUGGUGUGACUCUAAUAUGAAGAGGCUGUCCCAGCUUUUGGGACAUUGCAAGGUCAGCCCGCAUGGGCUCUCCAUUAAUGUGGAGUGUUUUCUCUGAAUUGGUCUCAUGAGCAUUUGCGUUGUCCCUCUUCCUUAUCCAGGGAAUCCAGGAUUUCUUCAAGCCAAGAUCACUACUGGAGGAAGGACUUCGCUCAACCCCUGCCGUCGGCUUCUUCAGACACUUCUGUCUUAUGUUGUUCAUUAUGUGGUUCUCUUCCUGAACAGACUUCCGGAUGAACACAGCCGGAGUCUCUUCUUCCGCUGGGCCGCUGCUGAAAGCAUCGGUCUGUACUCCAGUGGAGGCAACAGCAACAUCAACCAUACGUCUCCCAUUCAAACUUGGUCUCAGUGCCCGACUCUGACGCUUCGCGAUCUCAAGUUCUUUGGUAUUCUUGGCGCUCAUUUACCAACAUCAAAGCAAAGGACUUCAGCUUGACCAACUCCUCUUGUACCUUCGCCAGACGUUUGGAAUGCUCCUUCUCUUUCUUCACCUGGUAGGCUUUCUCGUUCUCCAACAACUUCUUCAGUCUGCAAGUGGAAAAGCAAAAAAAAAAUGAUCAUGACUGAGAGGAGUAGUUGGGUCAUCAGUUCCUAGCUGGCCGAAAGAUAAAGCAGCACUGAAAAAUUGGUCUGGGGAACCAGAAGUAGGCUCUUCCGACUCCGCCCCGUGAAUCAGAAGCCCAUCCCACAUCACGGCCACACCUGUUGGCACCAGGGGAAGUUUGUUGCUAGAACCACCAAGGCUUGUUCCUUGGACCAGAGCCACCCGAACAUCACUACGAAACACUAAAUAACAUACAGUGCAGCACCACUUGUAUCCUGGGGUAAGUUUUAAAAAGCCAAUAAAAACACAGCUGAAAACCUUGCUUACACAAAGCAGAGAGAACCGAAGUAAACCAUGUGGGCUCAGGGUCUAAGGCUAUGUUCUAUACUAUCAGCAUAUAGUCCCGUCCACUGGCUGGCAGGAGUUCAACAACCUCUUAGCAACAUCUCUUUGCUUGUUUUUAUGCAGCUCAUGUUCUCAUUACACACUCAACUGAAAUGCAUGCAAAGAAGAUUGGAUGCAACGUGAAAGGCUUUUGUUCUCGUACACUCCGGCAGCCGGCCAGCAAAGAACUCUCCAGACAUGAUUUCAUUUCAUUCCAAGUUCUACGCCGCUGUGCAGUGCAGUUGUAAAGAUUGAAUUAUUUACUCACCAGAUCAUCAGCAUCUCAGUCCAGCUCCAUACAUUGUCCUUGACUAUAUUCCAGACAUAUAGUGAGGAAGGGAGGACUGAAGAGUUGCACCUUCCAGGCCUCUACUGUACCAUCAUCUGCACAAGGCUCGAGUGUGUGAGGAUGUGUACUGAUUUUGGACAAUGAAGCGGUGGGACACUUGCCAGAGGAGGAGUGUCUGGCAGGACUCUUCUUUUUUACAGGGCCAGAAAGUGUACUUUGAGAAUGAGUGAUGACAAAGAGAUCAUGUGAACAGUAAUAUGUGGUAUGAAAUAGUUUCUACAUGUUCUACUUGCAGUUCCUCUCUUGAGGUAAUCCUCACGUAAGAGACCAAUUUUUUACUAAGGAUUAAUGAGGCUGGUGGAGAAUAGCAAGAGGGCGCCACUUUGGGUCAAUCUCAUGACUUCCUCAUGAAGUUGCUGGUUUAAUAGAAGAACAUGAGCAAUCAUCAAAAAAUUUGAGGUUAAACAUGAGGCUCAGGAGAAAAAGCAGUGAACCUGUGGACCUCCUCCUUGUUCUGUGCUGCACUGUGCUGCAAGAGGAUCACUUGGGCCAAGCCCAAAUCUAGACAACUGUAUGUACCCUCAGAGACAAUGCUAAGCCCCAAGCCGCUCAUCCUGCCAGCCCGGUCUCAAAGACUAGCUUCAGCAAAAAGCACCCUCUCACCUUCUUGGCUCACAGUCACUGGCCUAGGCCUGGUAGUCGUAAAUGAUCCACAUAUAACAUCACAUAAUAUAAGCGGAAUCAUGGUCAAAAGAUCAAUGGAAGAUCCAGAAAAAAGUUUGUCAAUGUAGAUGGUGCAAACCAGGUACUUUUCUGUACCAUUCCAAUUUGUUCAGAGACUGCAAUAUACGCUGGCAUUUUAAUAGAGAGGUACCUAAAUGCAGACAAGAUGGCUGACCUCAUGCCUCAAGACCAGAUCCUCCACCCUACUCCUCUGUAACAGAACUGACCCAAACGUGGUCAGUAUGACAUCAUCGACUCAUUUGCAUGUCGACGACUCCACGCAGUGAGUGUAUUUCGGACAAAUAGAGAAAUAUCAAAAUCAAAAAAUAAAUGUUUAUUUUCCGAGACUCACGAAGAUGCAUGAUGUUACGUGGUAUUUGCGCUUUUCAAUUGAUCUAAGAAUUUAAAUGUUGAAUACUUUGCCAAAGAAAGUCUCAAAUAUAAUAUUAUAGUGUGCUUUUCCUCCGGAACUUACAAGUAGAAUACAAAGAUAUUUCGUAUUUUAUUUUGCCAGAAUGAAAAGAGGGGGAAUUUGAGGUAAGA